rnacentral:rRNA from 1 species
GUACGGGAGGCAGCAGUGGGGAAUUUUGCGCAAUGGGCGAAAGCCUGACGCAGCAACGCCGCGUGGAGGAUGAAGGUCUUUGGAUUGUAAACUCCUGUCAGCGGGGAAAAAGCGACCCGACCUCAUACGUCGGGGAGUUGAUUGUACCCGCAGAGGAAGCCCCGGCUAACUCUGUGCCAGCAGCCGCGGUAAUACAGAGGGGGCAAGCGUUAUUCGGAAUUAUUGGGCGUAAAGGGCGCGUAGGCGGCCUGGCAAGUGGAAGGUGAAAUCCCUCGGCUUAACCGAGGAACUGCCCUCCAAACUGCUUGGCUUGAGACCGGGAGAGGUGAGUGGAAUUCCCAGUGUAGCGGUGAAAUGCGUAGAUAUUGGGAGGAACACCAGUGGCGAAGGCGGCUCACUGGACCGGUACUGACGCUGAUGCGCGAAAGCGUGGGGAGCAAACGGGAUUAGAUACCCGAGUAGUCC